UCAAGCUACUAAGGGCAUACGGCGGAUGCCUAGGCGCCAUCAGCCGAUGAAGGACGCGGUAAGCUGCGAAAAGCUACGGGGAACUGCAAGCAAGUAUUGAUCCGUAGAUGUCCGAAUGGGGAAACCCACCUGCCGUCAUGGGCAGGUAUCCGAAAGGAAGGGAACCCGGGGAACUGAAACAUCUAAGUACCCGGAGGAAGAGAAAUCAAACGAGAUGCCCACAGUAGCGGCGAGCGAAGAGGGCAGAGGGCAAACCGGUGAGCUACGGCUCGCCGGGGUUGAGGACUGCAUUUAGUCUCAAUGGUCUAUCCGAACUACCUGGAAAGGUAGGCAAUACAGUGUAAAAGCCACGUAGGUUAAAGACCGGAGAGAUGAGCAGUAUCCAGAGUACCACGAGGCACGAGGAAUCUUGUGGGAAGCCGGGGGGACCACCCUCCAACCCUAAACACUGAAUGGCGACCGAUAGCGCAUAGUACCGUGAGGGAAAGGUGAAAAGAACCCCGGGAGGGGAGUGAAAGAGAACCUGAAACCGUAUGUCUACAAGCAGUCGGAGCGAAAGCGACGGCGUGCCUAUUGAAGAAUGAACCAACGAGUUACGUGCACUAGCGAGGUUAAGUGGAAGACACGGAGCCGAAGCGAAAGCGAGUCUUAAGAGGGCGGAUAGUUAGUGUACGUAGACCCGAAACCGCAGUGAUCUACCCAUGUCCAGGUUGAAGCGCAGGUAAAAUUGCGUGGAGGACCGAACCUGUGAGCGUUGAAAAGCUUUAGGAUGAGAUGUGGGUAGAGGUGAAAUUCCAAUCGAACGCGGAGAUAGCUGGUUCUCCCCGAAAUAGCUUUAGGGCUAGCCUCAAGUAGUAAGUAUAGGCGGUAGAGCACUGAUCGGGCUAGGGGCCAUAAAGGUUACCGAACCCUGUCAAACUCCGAAUGGUUAUACUGUAGAGCUUGGGAGUCAGACUACGAGUGAUAAGAUCCGUGGUCAAAAGGGAAACAGCCCAGACCACCAGCUAAGGUCCCCAAUGUCGUACUAAGUGGAAAAGGAUGUGGGGUCUCUAAAACAACCAGGAUGUUGGCUUAGAAGCAGCCACCAUUUAAAGAGUGCGUAAUAGCUCACUGGUCGAGAGACCCUGCGCCGAAGAUUACCGGGGCUAAAGUACGAAACCGAAGCUGUGGCUACGACAUAUGUCGUGGGGUAGGGGAGCGUUCUGUGAGGGCUGAAGUCGUUCUGUAAGGAACGGUGGACUUCACAGAAGUGAGAAUGUUGGUAUGAGUAGCGAAAAGAAUGGUGAGAAUCCAUUCCACCGAAAGCAUAAGGAUUCCUGGGCAACGAUCGUCGUCCCAGGGUAAGUCGGGACCUAAUCCGAGGCAUGGAGCGUAGGAGAUGGACAACUGGCAGAUAUUCCAGUACCGGUAAUGAUUGUUUGAGCGAUGGAGUGACACAGGAGGGCAGGCAGGCAGGAGAUUGGUUGUUCCUGUACAAGCGUGUAGGAUGGGACGCAGGCAAAUCCGCGUCCUGUGAGUCUGAGGCGUGAUGUGGAGGUUCCGGAAACGGAACUGAAGCUGCUGACCCCACACUGUCGAGAAAAGCUUCUAGUUAGAGAAUUACCGCCCGUACCGUAAACCGACACAGGUAUGCGGGGAGAGAAUCCUAAGGUGCGCGGGAGAACCCUCGUUAAGGAACUCGGCAAAAUGUACCCGUAACUUCGGGAUAAGGGUAGCCGCUGUUGUGAAGUCUGAACAGACGGAGCAUGAGGCGGUCGCAGAGAAGAGGCCCAAGCGACUGUUUACCACAAACACAGGUGCCUGCUAAAGAGAAAUCUGACGUAUAGGUGCUGACACCUGCCCAGUGCCGGAAGGUUAAGGAAGGAUGUCCGGAGCAAUCCAAAGCAUUCGACCGAAGCCCCGGUGAACGGCGGCCGUAACUAUAACGGUCCUAAGGUAGCGAAAUUCCUUGUCGGGUAAGUUCCGACCCGCACGAAAGGUGUAACGAUUUGGGCACUGUCUCAACGAGGGACCCGGUGAAAUUGAAGUACCUGUGAAGAUGCAGGUUACCCGCGACUGGACAGAAAGACCCCAUGGAGCUUUACUGUAACCUGACAUUGGGUUCUGAUACAUCACGUACAGGAUAGGUGGGAGGCAUGGAAGCGAGGACGCUAGUCUUCGUGGAGCCGCCGUUGGGAUACCACCCUUGAUGUAUCGGAAUUCUAACCGUAGGAGUAACGAAACUCGGGACAGUGUCAGGCGGGCAGUUUGACUGGGGCGGUCGCCUCCCAAAGAGUAACGGAGGCGCCCAAAGGUUCCCUCAGCGCGGCCGGAAAUCGCGCGAA
rnacentral:rRNA from 1 species